CCCUCCUUAGCUCAGCGGCUAGAGCGCUCGGCUGUAGACCGAGAGGUCCCCGGUUCGAAUCUGGGAGGAGGGA
rnacentral:tRNA from 1 species